AGAGUGAUAUUGGUAUAUAUUACCAUUAUGGUGGAGUAAAUAACACCAUUGUUAAGGCUGUGUUUCAGUUUUGUUUUAUAUAUUACUUACUUACACAGUUAAUAUAUUAUUUCCAUCCAAUUGACAAAGUCAGGAGCUUAUUCCCAUCAGAAUCAUUACUGUUUCAUUACUUCAUAUUAGGCAAGUCUACCAGGCUGUCUUACAAAACCUAGUAAUGUUCCUUAAACUGAACCUUAAUGAGCAAUAUUAACUCCACUUCUAUCCAGUGCUGUGAGGAGAGUGUUGAAUUUAAUCAGCCAACUUAUUUCUUUAUGUAUGAAACAUUUUACCCUCUUCGGUUACUCUGCUUAGGAAAUCCCUAACAGCCUCUUUUUAGAUAUAUUUAAAAAAAGGCCCUGGAACUAUUCUGAAGCAUGCAGGGUGUUGUAAUUUCAGCUUGCAAAGCGGUAUGAUACAAUGUUGCUGAGCAGAAAAGCGCACGAUAGAUUUAAUGUAGCCAAUUGUGUACUUUUGAAAAAAAGAGUAACUGUUCAGUGUGAGUUAAUUUUGGAUUUUUUCAGCAUCUCUCUUUUAGGCUUUGUGCUGCAUUCUUCUAGACAAAUGCGUAUUCCAUGUGGGCCACUGUUCUGCUAAAUGCUCUCAGUUCUCCCUUUGCAAUCAAGAUUAUGUUGCUAAGGAGAUUUUGCUUUUAUUGGUGCCAUUGAUUUGUGUUAAUACGUUUUGAAUACCUCUCGGUAUUCUUCCGUAGACAAGGCCAAAAGAAAAACUUCCCCGAGUUUCCCGAUUUACAUUACAAAUGGAGCGGUGGUGUAAUGAAGCCGAUAUAAAGUGGGCAGUUGAAAGGGAACUAAAGAAGGGCACUCAAGUGAGAAAUGAAGAAAUGUGCCGAGUGCAGUCUGCGGGCCGCCUUCGGCCCAGCUGCAGGAACUGGCUCAUCAGGCCCGAGGGAGCAGAGCGAGCGCCUCCCUCCGCACAGACCACCCACUCGCUGCUCUCCGGGGAUUACCUCACUGCGCACAGCGCUGCUCUGCCGGCCGGGGCAGGCUCGCUCAGCGCCGCAGCUUCCCCUAGGGGUCCCCCAGCCAGGCCGCGCGGCUCCCCGGGCUUUUCCCGGGCUCACCCUGGAAACAACCUUCGCGCUGCCUGAGGGCGUUUGUCUUGGCGGGUGUCGCCUCCCCAUCGGACCCCUCCGUGCCCCCUCAUGCUGCUGGCAGCUUCAGUGCGCUCUCGGGUGGGGCGCAAAGGAUCGGCUGUGGCCGGCGUGGCACCUGUUGUGGAUGCCAGGGCAGGAGGCAAACGGGGAGAGCGGCUCCCGCGGUGUGCCGGUGCUUGCCAUUAGAAAACAAGGGUUCGUGUCCGACCCGGCCAGCCAAACCCCGCUGCCUCGGGCCUAAUAAACAGUGAGCUGACUCACUACUGCAGCAGCCGUGCCACAGAGCGGCUCCAGUUGACACAGCUCCUCUGACGCCUGCAAAAUCAGGAGCUGAGGAAGGGCCCCACCGGCUCCCGCUCCUCCCAAGAGGAGUGUUGCCAGAGGCUUGAGCAAUUUGAAGGCAAGUGCUCAUCGGCACGUGAUAAACUGGGGCCUCUUUAACGUUUGCACCGAACCAUCAAACCCCCCAAGCGAGUCGGUUUUGGAAAAGAAACGGUGGUCGCAACUCGUUCCUGUGCGAGCAGGAUCAGUGCACGGUGUAGGGCAGCGCUGCAAAGGUAUGAGGACAAAAGAGAGUUGUGAGAAGAGAUUUGAAGGGGAACAAUGAAGUGGACAUGAGAAGCCCCAAUCAAGCAAAAUGACAGAAGGUAGGCACCAGAGGGAGUUCCUUCCUGCUGCUCUCUUGCUCUCCAGGAUGCAGGCAGACAACUGCGGACUCUUCUUUGACAUAUCAAAGGACCUUAGGCUAGAAUCUCUUGGCUCACUGGGACUCUUACAGCGAGGGACUGACCAAGGUCUGAGGUUUAUAUAUUGUUCUUCCUGUUGAUGUCUACCAAGGCUUGCAUAAGUGUCUGCCAUAAGAAGAAUUUUAAGAAGGCUGCUCUACCUUUUUGAGUCUACUUAGAGAAGGAGAAUAGCUCAGGAAAAUCAUCUUCUACUAAACAAACAAGGCACCUUUAGUGCCUGUCAUUAAGCAGCACUGAAGCUUCAAACAAGGGUCAGGUUUAAACCCCAGAGGUUUCACUUAUGCCAUACUGCUAGAGCCC